UAGUAGUAGAAGUAAUAGUAGUCACUUUCAAAGCAAUGUCUACAAGUUUAAAUUCCUUAACCCUGUUCAAGGUGUAUACACACUCAAUAUUUAACUACAGUCCAGGUUUGCAAUUAACAAACUAUCUGAUAAACCUGUGUGUGAGUCAGAUAUGUCUGCUGCUAAUCUAUUGGUUAUAAAAUAUCACAGCCUUUUCUGAUUGGCUGAGUUCAAAUACAGAAAGUUUACCUGUUAGAUUGAAAUUCUGGAGCAGGCGUAUUGUAAAAUAUGCAGGUUAAACUUGUUGUUAAAAUGAAGUUAAUGUAAUGUUCACAAACAGUAGAGUUAAUGAGUUUUUCCAUUAACAAGAAUUUCUUAAAAUAAUAAUGUAUGGAUAUCAUUUGGAAAGUGACAUGAAAUGUUGUUAAAAAGUGAUGCAUACAAGUGUUUCAGAAGUCUGUCUAGGAAUAGAACAACAACUGAAGCUGACCAGUUGAUGAAAGAUACUGCAGAGUUUGGCAGGGAAAUAACCCAAGACAGCAAAGCGGCUCUUUUGGCGCAUUUACUAAGAGGACUAACAUGGCCACAAAUUCAUGACCAUGCAGGGGCCGUACAGUAUAACAGCAGUACAAGUUCUAUAAAAGAUCCACGACCUACUGAAGCCCAGCUAAUUAACAAAAAAGUUUUUAAAAACUGUAAUUUUAUCCCACCUGGGUACUUAUAAUUUACUAAGCUGCCUACACAAGUUUUAGACUUGCAAUUAUAUUUUAAACUGUCACUUGGAAAGUAAUACAUGUACAUGCAUUAUGUUCUGAAUUUCUUUGAACAAUAAAAUUAUAUAAAAGUAUUUUAAUGAAAUUGAGCACCUAAAUUGCAUUAAAGUGAAAGUAGCUGAGAAAAAUAGUAUCCUUGUGCUCAUGGGCAGCUACAUAUAUUGUAACUAACAUGAAUUAGCUAAAAUAACUUAAAUUUUUCAUUUUGUUUCUUGUAUAUCGUUUGUACAGGGUUCGUGAAUUGUUACUGUAUAUUACUUGACUUGCUUAAUUGUAUUUUGUUACUUUGAAUACAUGUUGUGAAGGUUGCAUUAUACUUUUUAAACUUUAAAGUAGCGCCUGUUCUGUUAUGUAAGGGCCUGAUUUAUGAUAAUGGACAUAGAGGCUUUGUAAGCAUGUAUUAAACAACACUUGUUUGAUCUGAAUAAUUUGUUAAAUAAAUGUAACACAAUUUGUAAUCUGAUGUUAUAUUUUGAUGAAUUGUGAACAAAAUAAUACAUCGAAGAAACUAAGGCAUUAUGUUGAUUUUUUGUUUUGUUUUAAUCUAACCUUAAAUUAUGAUUUAUUUAAGCUGUGAGUAUUGUAUUCAUUUAAUACAUGAAUAUUGUUUUUAGACCAGAAAUUUCUUUUUCUAUUCAGUGACCAUGGUAAACGCUGGACAAUUUUCCAUGUUAUACCAGGCAUCCAUGGAAUAUUAAACAAGGAAAAACCCUGGAACAUUUUCCAGGGUUUUCCAGCCAG